CAACAUCUCAACUCUGGUAGCCAGUAGGAUCUGUCACCAGGAGACCAGAAGAGAAUCCUGAGGUCCAGUUGGCUUUUCAUCUCACCUGCAAUGCAACUUCCGGAGGUAAUGAGACAGAAGUUUUCAAACUCAUUGGAUGGAAGAGCCACACGUGUGGAAGAAACAUAUUUUCACGAAUUUCAAAGAGCCAAAGGCAAGGACCAGAAGUGAAAACAAUACUGUUUGCCAAAGGUUGAGGGCAUUUCUAUUCUCACUUCAGCAAGUGUCUCAGCAAAUCAGACAGUCAGUGGAACCAGAAACUCAAGAGCUUGCAUCAGGCACAGAAGCAAUGGAUUUCACCAACCAUGGGCUGAAACCUUCCAAACCAAGAGCGAAAAUAAACUCUUCUUAAACAAAAUGAUUAUGUCAAGUAUUUAUUGCAGCUCUGGACUUCACUGCAAUGAUUGUAAAGUUCUGCUGGACUUCACUGACAGGCCAGAGUCGACAUUCAACAGAAAUGCAUGUCAGCCUGUGUACAUUCUGAGGACAAGUGCUUGGGAGAUAUUGUGAAAUGCAAAGUGACUUCACCAGUGUUCUCAUCUGAGGAGUAUCUGGCCACCUUGGGAGAGAAUGCCUUUAUACUGCAGGCAGAUUACAAAGCUACUGAAGUCCAGGAGUCAGGUUUAUGGAACCUGGACAUGUACUACAUGAACAGCUAUGAUUUCAGUAGAAGCUGGAUGGUCUUUGGCUCCUCGCACCCAAUUUCAUCCUCCCAGAUAAUUAUUGUACAGACAUCCCUUUCAGCAUUUCACCUGAUGUAUAUUUGAUGAGUGCGUUCAAAGGAAGUCAUUCACAUUUCAGAGCUUCACAAAAGAAACAAAUGUUUCAUUUAACCUCACGAAUAUGUACUUUGGGUUGCAUAUUCUACUUUAAGCUAAUUUUUCCCCUUCUAAGUUUGACCUUAAAAGUUGGAGAGAAGAGUGACAGUGACAUAGAACUGCCUAGACCAUGUGGAAGCUUUGAUUUAUUUCACUUUAUGUUUACAGUUACAUAGAGCAUGCACACAUGUGUGCUCAAUGUAGCCAUGCAGACCAAGGAGGCCUGAGAGAUGGUUCAGUGGUUAAAAGUGCUCCUGUUGUUUCAGAGGACCCAAAUUCAGUUCCCAGCAUCCAUUUCAGGUGACUUACAACCACAUGUAUCUCCAACAUCCUAGUCUC